rnacentral:rRNA from 1 species
UACGUAGGGUGCGAGCGUUAAUCGGAAUUACUGGGCGUAAAGUGUGCGCAGGCGGCCGCGCAAGUCGAGUGUGAAAGCCCCGGGCUUAACUUGGGAAUUGCGCUCGAAACUACGUGGCUGGAGUGUGGCAGAGGAAGGUGGAAUUCCGCGUGUAGCAGUGAAAUGCGUAGAGAUGCGGAGGAACACCGAUGGCGAAGGCAGCCCCCUGGGCUGACACUGACGCUCAGGCACGAAAGCGUGGGGAGCAAACAGG